rnacentral:rRNA from 1 species
GGGGCUACCUAGAGUUGCAGACUUCGGUCUGCUACCUCUUACCCAUGUCUUUUGAGUACCUUCGUUUCCUCGGCGGGUCCGCCCGCCGGUUGGACAACAUUCAAACCCUUUGCAGUUGCAAUCAGCGUCUGAAAAAACAUAAUAGUUACAACUUUCAACAACGGAUCUCUUGGUUCUGGCAUCGAUGAAGAACGCAGCGAAAUGCGAUAAGUAGUGUGAAUUGCAGAAUUCAGUGAAUCAUCGAAUCUUUGAACGCACAUUGCGCCCCUUGGUAUUCCAUGGGGCAUGCCUGUUCGAGCGUCAUUUGUACCUUCAAGCUCUGCUUGGUGUUGGGUGUUUUGUCUCGCCUCUGCGUGUAGACUCGCCUUAAAACAAUUGGCAGCCGGCGUAUUGAUUUCGGAGCGCAGUACAUCUCGCGCUUUGCACUCAUAACGACGACGUCCAAAAGUACAUUUUUACACUCUUGACCUCGGAUCAGGUAGGGAUACCCGCUGAACUUAAGCAUAUCAAAGUGCGGAGGAAAU